rnacentral:lncRNA from 1 species
CAUGGAUGAAGAUGUGAUAUUAUAUCCACCAUGCUAUUUCAGAUGUAGGCAAUGGCCAUAAGAGAUGGCACAAUGGAGAUGUGUAUCAGCCAAGAUUAUUUGGAUACAAGCAACAGAAACUGACUCUAGAUCAAAAGAGAAUUUGUUCAAGGAUAUGGAGGAACAGGAAUACUGAAAAAAUUAGGUUUGCAGUAAGAAAAGAACUAAUGGUGUAUGCCAGGAAUUCAUGAAGCAGAAUUCCUCUGUGGCUCAUUAGAGCACUGCUGCUUGAAUAAUGGGCUUAAGGUGUCAAGUUCCAGGAAGGGGCAUCUUAUGAGACCCAAAUGGUCAUAUCCUUCCCACUUCCCUCUUCCCAUGGUUAUCAUCAGCCAUGUUCCUUAGUGAUCUUACUACGUUGUACCCAAUAGAGGAAAGAGAAUUCCAUAACAGAACACCAAAAUACUGUUGCCAGAAGAAGAUGGGAAGGCAUGCCCAAUCAGCCUACAGAGAUAAUUGUCCACUGCACAGUAUAAUGUGCAACUGAUUUCAUGCCAUAUUUUCUAUGGUUUUUAGUUCAUAGUCUAUGUGGUUUGUUAGGAGAAGUGGAGGUUAUAGACAGAGAAUGAAAAAAACAUUAUCAUUUCACAUUAUUCAACCUGCUGUGGUAAAAGUAGCCCACAUGGACACGGUAUGAAACAGUCAAACCUCUGUUUGGACAUAGUGGUGCAUGCCUGUAAGCCUAGCAAUUUGUGAGGCUGAGAUGGGAGGAUCGUGAGUUCGAGGUAAGCCUCAGCAAUUUAAUGAGACUCUCAGCACUUAGUGAGAUUCUGUACCAAUAAAUUAAUAAACAACAAAAUAAAAGGAAAUAGGGAUGUGGCUCAAUGGUAAAGCAUCCCUAGGUUUAAUCCCCAAUUCCCCUAACCCCCAACACAUGCAUGCAUACCUGAUGGUUAAACCUCUGGUCUUAUACAAUCCAAAAUGAUGUUAAGUUUUGAUACAUAGAAGAUAUUAUAACAUUGACUUUUUGCUUAUUAGGGAAUCUGUCUUAGGUGGCAUCCAAUAUUUAAGAUUUUUUCUCUCUACCAAAUGGAGUUAACAUAAUCUCUCUCCUUGUCAAGGGGUAAGAUAGAACACAGCCCAAGCCUUGCCCAGACAGCAGAGCCAUAGCCCCACAAAGCAGAGAUACAAAUCCUCAGAGAGGAAUAGGAAUUAGAGUCAGGUCUGUCUUAUAGAACAUAUAGGAGAGAUGGGAAGCUUACUUAGUAAUAUUAUUGAUAAAUAUUGUAUACUUACAAGUAUAUACGUAGAGAUUGCUACCACUGGAUAGAAGUUACCGAGUUCCAGGCUGUGACUGUCUCAGAGCCGACUGGCAAAUCACAGAGGCUCAGCAAAACCUGCACAAAAGAAAAGGGAAAACACAGAACAUUUCAUCAUGGAGGUAUUUCUGUUUUAAGUAAC